AAAAGAUCUAACAUGUGGAACAUGAGAGAAAUGAAAAAGAUUGAAUUCCGUUCCAAAUGGGGUUUUGAAUUUAUUUUCGCACUUCCUAUUUUUUUGAGCCCAAGAAUGCAAGAUGUAAGCUAAGAAAAGAUAAGUGAAAGUAUUGCUCUAACAUUCUGGAUUCCUUCUAUUAGAGAAGAAUGCAAAUCUUUGCCUUAUCUCAGUGAUGGGCCCCACUUAACCCUUUGUCUUACUGAGAGCACUUUUCUGCAGAUGAUCAAGUGGAAUUUACUGUGAUGGCGUGUCAAAUCUUGAAAUAAUCUACCUUUCAAGAAAAAAGAGUUUAACCAGAUGAUUGUACCUUUUAGCCAUAUCUACAAUUAAUUUGAAUGUAUUGUAAGCUGUUUAAAAUAUUCCAUUAAGGAAGAAGUGAAUUCCUUCCCGCACAGAAGAGAAAAGUACUCGUCUAAUAUAUAAUUUCAGGCAUAAGGAGAAGGUGAUAUUGCAUUGCAAAUAAUAGCAGUUAGUGGGAGCUGAGAGCCAACUCUGCACCAGACUCGUAUCAGCCACUUGACUUCCAUUAUUCCUUAUUCCUUGGUACGUCUGCGCCACCUGUGAUAUCAGAUCCUUUUUACUGCAAGGAAACUGAGGCUGGGCGAUGCUAAGAAACUCAGCCAGGGUCAAUCGGCUGUCAAGUGGCAUUGCCAGGAUCCAGAUGGAGGACCAUCUGACUCCAAAGCCACCUGACUCUUUCCCAUAUACCACAGUUUCUAAUACGAUAUUACACCCAGCUUUAAUAUGAGCACACCUCGUGGAUGAUGCUAUCUAUAAAUUAAUUACCUCCCCACCGCGCCACAUCAAGUAUAAUGGAUGUAAUAUGAUUUUUCAGAAUUCAGCUAAGUACCCACUGAGCUUUACAUUUUGUAACUUUUUAGACUGUACAUCAAAAUGUCUUUUGGAUUAAAACUUUUUUUUCAUA